UCCCCGGCUCCCGCGGGGUGAGGGCCUCUUUUCUCCUCCGGGGUCGCGGAGGGAGGUUCCUGCCGCCAGACACACCCGGGGGAGAAGGACCCGGGGGUUGCAGCUCGUGAUGAGGAAGAGGAAACGGAGGUCCCGGGCGGGUCUAACGAUUAGGUAAUCAAGGCUCUGAGAGCCCAACUCAGUUGGGCACAGCUGAGACGUGGUCAAAUCAGAGUUGAAACCCGCGUUUGGGCUCCUUCCACGACACCAACAACCUGUGCGAGGACCUCGAAGGAGCUUAGGGCAGAUCGCCUCUUGGUGGGGCUUCAUUCGUCCAAUCCUGUGGUGGGCACCACCGUGUACCAGGCCUACUCGACACGUGGGGAAUAGUAGGACAGGAGUCUGUACCUACUCGGUGGAGCUGGCUUUCAGGAAAGCUAAGCUGCAAAUAGGAGGAAACACAGAGUUUGUAGACGGUAAGAAGACCGCGAACAGGAUAAUGAGGUGCUCUUAUGUACUCUGCCAGCUGGCUGGAAGACGAUGAGAAGGUUCUAGCAAAGGCAAGGCCUCAAGAUAGAAGACUCCUGAGUAGAGGAGAACCUCUGCUCCAUUGGCCUGUAUAUCCACCCAGGACUGUUGAGGAAAAAAAUAAACCUUUAUUGUUUUUGA